rnacentral:rRNA from 1 species
CUACGGGGCGCUGCAGUGAGGAAUAUUGCACAAUGGGGGGAACCCUGAUGCAGCAACGCCGCGUGGAGGAUGACGCAUUUCGGUGUGUAAACUCCUUUUAUAUGUCAAGAAAAUGACGGUAGCAUAUGAAUAAGCACCGGCUAACUCCGUGCCAGCAGCCGCGGUAAUACGGAGGGUGCAAGCGUUACUCGGAAUCACUGGGCGUAAAGGACGCGUAGGCGGGUUGGAAAGUCAGGUGUGAAAUCCUACAGCUUAACUGUAGAACUGCACUUGAAACUUCUAACCUAGAGUAUGGGAGGGGGAGAUGGAAUUAGUGGUGUAGGGGUAAAAUACGUAGAUAUCACUAGGAAUACCUAAAGCGAAGGCGAUCUCCUGGAACAUUACUGACGCUAAGGCGUGAAAGCGUGGGGAGCAAACAGGAUUAGAUACCCGUGUAGUC